CUAUCUGCAAAAAGACAGCAUGUAAGCAAUCAACGAUACAGAGAAGAUUAGCAUGGUCCCUGCGCAAGGAUGACAUGCAAAUUCAUGAAAUGGGGGGGGGGGAAAGGAACACCGUUUU
rnacentral:snRNA from 1 species